rnacentral:rRNA from 1 species
UACGUAGGGUGCGAGCGUUGCCCGGAUUUAUUGGGCGUAAAGGGCGCGUAGGCGGCUCGGCACGUCCGUUGUGAAAUCGCCCGGCUCAACUGGGCGGGGUCAGCGGAUACGGCCGAGCUUGAGCAAGCUGGGGGCAAUGGAAUUCCCGGUGUAGCGGUGAAAUGCGCAGAUAUCGGGAGGAACACCCGUAGCGAAGGCGGCACUCUGGGCCGUGACUGACGCUGAGGAGCGAAAGCGUGGGGAGCAAACAGG